UACUGUUUAUGUAUUGAUAUUGAAAAUUAAUACAAGCUACAUGUUAUAUGUACAAAGCUGUUACUGCAUUGGUUAUAGCCCUUUGGCAUCUGUGCGCCAUUUGUAAGCAUCAAUGUUAAAUAAAUAAGUUGUAUUUGCGAAAAGAGUUAUUUUAGACCUCAAAAGCAAUGGUCUGUGUUGAUGCUAUUUUCUCUGAAAGCAAACUGUCAGUAAUCUGCAGCCAUUCAGCUACUGUUCCAGAAACUUGAAGAAAGGCGUAAAAAGUGAGCUGCCAUUACCACAGUACCUCAGAUAUGUAGGAACCAUGACAUUCGGGCAUUUCUGUUCUGUUGAAAUAAUACUUGAGCUGGAACCAUGACAUGAAAGAAGACCUUAGGAAAUAUAUGCAAGUGGAGAUUGAGACAUUAAAUUUGAAAAAUGAAAAGACUUAUGAAGCAAAUAGCAAGUUCUGAAUGCUUCAAACUAACUGUUAGUAGACUUUGGAUGAUUUACUGCAAACAUAGGGCAAAAAAGACUCAGAUACAAAUGUAUCAUAACAAUGCUUUCAUGCCAAACUUCCAGGGCAUCUAUACAGGAGAAUUCAGUUGAAAGUCCAGGAGAUUUCAGAAUUUACAUUGUACCUAGUUUAAAAGUAUAAUUAAAUAGAUAGUUCUGAAUUCUUUUUAGUAAAUCUGAUUCAUUUUUAAAUCUACAAGGUAUUGUCAUCAUUUGUUGAUCUUUGUCUGCUUUGUUCUUGGUUAACAUUUUUGCUUAUGUUCCUCUUUUCUUCGAAACUAUAGGAAAUACAGCUUUGAAACUUA